UUCCACUUACGAAUAUUUCCUACUUUUAUGAUAAAAAGAUAUACAAUCUCUCAGGUAAGAAACUAUUGUAAUUUUAUUGCCUGACAAGAAAGUCGAAUGAUUGUUUCGCGAUUGUUUUGAAAUUUAUUGGCAUACACACCUCUCGUUAACGAAUACUAAUAAACUUUCCGUUUCUCAAUAAUCAACCCAUAAAUUAGAAAUGAAAAUUAUAGCAGAACCAUGACGAAGUAAAAAACAAGUGGGUCGACUCUAUCUAACACUGAUAAUUGCAUUGUCGCAUUAAUACCUACGUAUCUAACAUAAUGCAGUUUCGAGUCUGAAGACAAACGAUCCAAUCUGUUAAGAGUGUGCCACCCCUUGAUGUGUACGCUUUCAAACCGCAGUUAUAAUAUAUUCCCCGAGGUCAAAAUUUAUUAUCCACUAAAAUACCUGUAUUGCUGCAAGAAAGCGGCUGUUGACUAGAAAAAGCCACUGUUAUUAAUUCGCAUUAACUUAAUAGCUAUAAGAGAGAAAAGGAGAGGGCGAAGGAAGAGGGGCGGGAGGCAAGAGGGGUGUAGACAGAAAGAGAGAGAGUGCGAGGCCGUAGGGGGGAAUAAGGUCACGCCAGAAAGUGAGUAAUGAAGGCGGUUUAUCUCCGAGGAGUAACUAGCGGUGUUCGUGUAAUGGGGGCAUUCAUCAACGCGAUCUCACAUCGCCUUUCCGUUCGCGUUUCAGAGUCUCAUGACGAUUUGCACUACGAACGGACGGUGAGAAACGGAGCUGAAACGAUUUCUUUCUGCGCGCGUCUUGGAAAACCCGUUGCCACUUUGCCACAACGCACAUUGUUGUAUAUGAUACAACGCGGCACUGCCACUAUGUGACAUCAGGAGGAUAACGGCAACAAUAACAAUAACAACAACAGCGAAGCAUCAACGACGAACACGAUAUACACGCGCUGAACACGCAACAAGCACAGCGGGCAGCCAUAUUAUUACCGUCUUUUCGCAGUCCGCGCCUCUGUUGUAGACAUAAUGGUAACCCGCACCACGGACUCGCUGCUCACCUGCCCAGUGAAGAGAGGAGAAGAAGGAAGAAACGUGCACGUUAGGGGUAAGGAGGGAACCUCGCUAGUGGGGAGACGGCCACUUUGCCUCUUGUUACCUGUACGCUCCUGCGUUUAUUUUUCUGCUUCCUUUGCACUCUCAUUUCCUUGCUUUCCGAGCUGACGAUCAAUCUACAUAACGCUCGACCUUUUUUCAAUUUGAAUUAUUGCUCUCGAAUAUGUUCUACGAAUUGGAAAUACGUCAUCUCCGUUCGUUUAUUUUAUAUAAGAUAAGAUUGAAGUCCUACCGUUAACGGAAAAAGACUUUCUGCUUUCGCCACUGAUACAUUGUAUCAUAUAUAUAUACAUUUAUAUUAUUCCGCAUAUAUAAAUCUUGUAUAAAAUUUCAGAAAAAUUCAACAAGGAGUAACUUGCAAAUAAUAUGUUUGUUACUUUAUAAUAGAACUUGGUAAAAAAUUAGA
rnacentral:lncRNA from 1 species